AGUGAACGCUGGCGGCGUGCCUAAUACAUGCAAGUCGAACGGAGUGGCGCACGGGUGAGUAAUAUAUAUCUAAUCUGCCCCUUGCUGAGGGACAACAGUUAGAAAUGACUGCUAAUACUCCAUAGCAAGGGAUGAGAAUAUAUCGUAUCAGCUAGUCGGUGGGGUAACGGCCUACCGAGGCUAUGACGGGUACCUGGUCUGAGAGGAUGAUCAGUGACAAUGGAGCUGAGACACGGUCCAAACUCCUACGGGAGGCAGGAGUGGGGAAUAUGGCGCAAUGGGGGAAACCAUGACGAAGCAACGCCGCGUGGAGGAUGACAAUUUUCAGAGAGUAAACUCCUUUUGUUAGGGAAGCGGUACCUAACGAGUAAGCAACGGCUAACUCCGUGCCAGCAGCCGCGGUAAUAC
rnacentral:rRNA from 1 species